AUUGAACGCUGGCGGCAUGCUUUACACAUGCAAGUCGAACGGCAGCGCGGGCUUCGGCCUGGCGGCGAGUGGCGAACGGGUGAGUAAUGCAUCGGAACGUGCCCAGUAGUGGGGGAAAGCCCGGCGAAAGCCGGAUUAAUAUCGCAUACGACCUGAGGGUGAAAGCGGGGGACCGAAAGGCCUCGCGCUAUUGGAGCGGCCGAUGUCGGAUUAGCUAGUUGGUGGGGUAAAGGCUUACCAAGGCGACGAUCCGUAGCUGGUCUGAGAGGACGACCAGCCACACUGGGACUGAGACACGGCCCAGACUCCUACGGGAGGCAGCAGUGGGGAAUUUUGGACAAUGGGGGCAACCCUGAUCCAGCCAUGCCGCGUGCGGGAAGAAGGCCUUCGGGUUGUAAACCGCUUUUAUUCGGGAAGAAAUCCUCUGGGCUAAUACCCCGGGGGGAUGACGGUACCGGAAGAAUAAGCACCGGCUAACUACGUG
rnacentral:rRNA from 1 species